UACGUAGGGAGCGAGCGUUGUCCGGAUUCAUUGGGCGUAAAGAGCUCGUAGGCGGUUUGUCGCGUCUGCUGUGAAAACUCGGGGCUUAACUCCGGGCCUGCAGUGGGUACGGGCAGACUAGAGUGCGGUAGGGGAGACCGGAAUUCCUGGUGUAGCGGUGAAAUGCGCAGAUAUCAGGAGGAACACCGGUGGCGAAGGCGGGUCUCUGGGCCGUAACUGACGCUGAGGAGCGAAAGCGUGGGGAGCGAACAGG
rnacentral:rRNA from 1 species